rnacentral:RNase_P_RNA from 1 species
CGGGUCGGCUGGACGGUCGCGUUGCGGGUGACCGCACCGAGGAACGUCCGGGCUCCACAGGGCAGGGCGGUGGGUAACACCCACCCGGAGCAAUCCGCGAGACAGUGCCACAGAGAGCAGACCGCCUCGAAAGAGGUAAGGGUGAAAGGGUGGUGUAAGAGACCACCGGGGGCCGUGGUGACACGGCCCGCCAGGUAAACCUCGCCCGGAGCAAGGCCAGACAGAGGAUGUUGACGCGGCUCGCCGAGUCCUCGGGUAGGCCGCUGGAGCGGCACGGCAACGUGUCGCCGAGAGAGAUGACCGUCCACGGGGCGCAAGCCCCCGGACAGAACCCGGCGUACAGGCCGGCCCGUUCA